rnacentral:lncRNA from 1 species
UUCCCUUGGAAUUUGCGCGGAUGAUGAUGAUGACGAUACUUGGAUUGAUUGUGGAGCAUCAUAUUUAGCCUGGCUAUCACUGUAAUGAACAUUGGGUGAUUGCAAUGGACGAAAAGAUGUGUGUCGAAACAUUUGGAGGAGAUGAAACCAGUGAUAGUGUCUCGGAUGUAUGCCCGUCAAGGACACCUGGCCGAGACCACUCGACGCUCGAAUGUCGAGGUUUUUUUUUUUUCGUUACUCUCUACCAGAGAUGACUGAAAAAAAAUGUACUGCUAACAAUAUGAAUGGAAUUCUACAAAAAAAAUAGUAAGAUUAUUAAUAACACUUGUAGUAUCAUGGAGACCAACGUAUUACAUCAAGUAAUUUCUUUUUGUGGUACUCAAUAAAAUCAUCACAACACGUAUCAAUGUCCUCAAUAAACAUUGAAUGAAAUUCAAGUAGUAUCUCUCUUGAAUCUGGUACUUCAGCAAUGUUUGUCAACGUCUACAAUGCAUUUUUAAGACAACAUACAAUGUAUCAUACAAUAGACUUUUGAAAGUCGUCAAGAGGUUCAUUUCAAUUGCCUUGACUAUUCCUGAAGUAUUCUGACAGAGUGAAACUAGACAAGCAAGAAUAUGACCAACGAUGUUCAUAUUAUCGUUCAGUCUAUUGAAAAGUCCAACGAGUGCUUCCAUUGUCCCAUCACUUUCAUUUUGAGAUUCAUUGAUGCGUAACAACAAGAGAUGCUCGAGACUCGAAAGCAGAAUUAUCUAAGCUGAGUAACUAUCGACUGCUGUCAACGACUGAUGCCUUGACAAUUGUUGACAAUAACCAAGAUGGCCAACAAUAAGUCCAGACCAUGUGGUAGAAGUCAUGAAUAAUAGAAAACAGUGGAGAACAGGAGGACGAAUGUAAAGGAAACUAUCGAGCCAAAAACGCUACAAAAACCAACAAGAAAAUUCAAGACAAUGAUAAAUGAAAAAUAUUACCGAAAGUGGAAGUGGACUUUUUUCACAUGGUGAUGCUAAAACUCCAACAACAACUUUAGCAGCUCCAGU